rnacentral:rRNA from 1 species
CAAUAGCGUAUAUUAAAGCUGUUGCGGUUAAAAAGCUCGUAGUUGGAUUUCUGUCAAGGACAACUGGUCCGCCCUCCGGGUGAGCACAUAGUUUGGUCUUGGCAUCUUGCUGGAAACUGUUGCUGCGCUUGGUUGUGUGGUGCAGCUUUCAGCACUUUCACUUUGAGGAAAUUGGAGUGUUUCAAGCAGGCACAUGCCUUUGGACACAGUAGCAUGGAAUAACUAGAUUGGGCUUUUGCUCCAACUUGUUGGUUCCUGGAGCUGAGGUGAGAAUCAAUGGGGAUUGUUGGGGGCAUCCGAAUUUAGCCGUCAGAGGUGAAAUUCUUGGAUCUGCUAAAGACGGACAACUGCGAAANCGNNNGCCCAGGAUGUUUUCAUNGA